AUUAGCUUCUGAAAUGUGGGUUCAAUAGAUAUUUCAAACAAUAGUCUCCAUGGUAUAAUUCCAAAUUUUUCUGGAAAGAAUAUUAUUGGUUUCCUAAGUCUUGCAUCAAAUCAAUUUGAAGGUCCUAUUCCACCAUUUCUACGAGGUUCCAUAUUUCUUGAUUUAUCUAAUAAUAAUUUAUCAGAUUCGCAUUCAUUUUUAUGUGCCAGUGGUCCUGAAAAAACACUAUAUCAGUUAGACCUUUCACAUAAUCAUCUUUCUGGACAAAUUCCAGAUUGUUGGAGCCAUUUUAAGUCGUUAGCUUAUUUAGAUUUGAGCCACAACAAAUUUUCAGGAAACAUUCCUACUUCAUUAGGAUUGCUUCUUGGUCUUCAAGCAUUAUUAUUAAGAAACAACAACUUAACACAUGAGAUACCUUUCUCCUUAAGACGUUGUACAAAGUUAGUGAUGCUUGAUAUGUCAAACAACAAUUUAUCAGGGCAAAUCCCUCCUUGGAUCGGGAGCGAAAUGCAAGAGUUGCAAAUCUUAAGUUUGGGAAGUAAUAAUUUCAAUGGAAUUUUACCAUUACAAAUUUGUUAUCUGAAAAGCAUCCAAAUAUUUGAUCUCUCACUAAAUAACUUAUCUGGAAAAAUUCCUGCAUGUAUAAAUAAUUUUACAUCAAUGGUUAACAAGACAUUUUCAAGUAAUUAUGGACGUCAUGAGUAUUUUAUCAACAUUAGUGAGUUUAGAACCAAUUACUCAUACGAUUUGAAUGCAUUUUUGAUGUGGAAAGGUUCAGAACAAAUAUUCAAGACUACUGAGUUAUUACUUCUAAAAGGCAUUGAUCUUUCCAGUAAUAACUUCUCAGCAGAAAUUCCAGUGGAAAUAGAGAAUUUAGUUGAGUUGAUUUCAUUAAAUUUGUCAAGAAAUAAUUUUAUUGGACAAAUCCCUUCAAAUAUUGGAAAUCUAAAAUCACUUGAAUUUCUUGAUUUGUCAAGAAACCAAUUUAUUGGUUCAAUUCCUUUAAGUCUUGCUCAAAUUGAUCGACUCACUAUGUUAGAUUUGUCACAUAAUCAUUUAAGUGGAGUUAUUCCAAUUAGCACACAACUACAAAGUUUCAAUGCCUCAAGUUACGAAGAUAAUUUAAAUCUGUGUGGACCACCACUUGAAAAAUUAUGCAUUGAUGAUGGGCUAUCUCAAGAUCCGAUCUUUGAAAUUCAUGAAUAUUCUCUUUUCGGUCAUGAAUUUUACGUCAGUAUGACAGUGGGAUUUACAAUAACCUUUUGGAUUACAUUUGGCUCAAUGUUAUUCUUGAAGACCUGAUGAACAAUUUAAUUGACGACAUUUAUAUGGUAAUGGUGAAAUUCUCCAAUUACAAAUGGUUGGUGCAAAGUGGAUUAAGAGUAUCUCAAGAUCACACAUAUCUCAAAUGUUUGAGGUUGUAAACUUGGACGAAGCUGGAAAGUAUGGUUGGUUUAGUUGUUUUAAACAUGUUUUCAUUUUAUAUGGUGUUUUUAGUUCUGUAAUUUCAGUUAGAAUUGUUUGAUGUUGUUCUCUGUUUGAAUAAACUGAGGGUGAUGAAGUUGGACAAGAAAACUUAUUUUUAAUUCUAAGUAACAAGACAAUGCAUUUGCCA